UACGUAGGUGGCAAGCGUUGUCCGGAUUUACUGGGCGUAAAGGGCGUGCAGGCGGUUUGUUAAGUGCAGAGUGAAAGCUCCCGGCUCAACUGGGAGAGGUCUUUGCAUACUGGCAAACUCGAGGGAGGCAGAGGAAAGUGGAAUUCCCGGUGUAGUGGUGAUAUGCGUAGAUAUCGGGAGGAACACCUGUGGCGAAGGCGGCUUUCUGGGCCUUACCUGACGCUCAGGCGCGAAAGCUAGGGGAGCGAACAGG
rnacentral:rRNA from 1 species